rnacentral:rRNA from 1 species
GACGAACGCUGGCGGCGUGCUUAACACAUGCAAGUCGAACGGAAAGGCCCUGCUUUUGUGGGGUGCCCGAGUGGCGAACGGGUGAGUAACACGUGAGUAACCUGCCCUUGACUUUGGGAUAACUUCAGGAAACUGGGGCUAAUACCGGAUAGGAGCUCCUGCUGCAUGGUGGGGGUUGGAAAGUUUCGGCGGUUGGGGAUGGACUCGCGGCUUAUCAGCUUGUUGGUGGGGUAGUGGCUUACCAAGGCUUUGACGGGUAGCCGGCCUGAGAGGGUGACCGGCCACAUUGGGACUGAGAUACGGCCCAGACUCCUACGGGAGGCAGCAGUGGGGAAUAUUGCACAGUGGGCGGAAGCCUGAUGCAGCAACGCCGCGUGCGGGAUGACGGCCUUCGGGUUGUAAACCGCUUUCGCCUGUGACGAAGCGUGAGUGACGGUAAUGGGUAAAGAAGCACCGGCUAACUACGUG